rnacentral:rRNA from 1 species
AUUGAACGCUGGCGGCAGGCCUAACACAUGCAAGUCGAACGAGUGGCGGACGGGUGAGUAAUGUAUGGGAAACUGCCCGAUGGAGGGGGAUAACUACUGGAAACGGUAGCUAAUACCGCAUACCAUCGGAUGUGCCCAUAUGGGAUUAGCUAGUAGGUGGGGUAAAGGCUCACCUAGGCGACGAUCCCUAGCUGGUCUGAGAGGAUGACCAGCCACACUGGGACGGAGAGACGGCCCAGACUCCUACGGGAGGCAGCAGUGGGGAAUAUUGCACAAUGGGCGCAAGCCUGAUGCAGCCAUGCCGCGUGUAUGAAGAAGGCCUUAGGGUUGUAAAGUACUUUCAGCGGGGAGGCGUUACCCGCAGAAGAAGCACCGGCUAACUCCGUGCCAGCAGCCGCGGUAAUAC